GAGUUGGGGGAGAGGACCAGAACCACCUGCUGGAGAAGGGGAGCUACGGGGGCCGGGCAGGGUCCAAACGCCUCACGUAGGCGGCGGCGCCACGGUCUUCGGGGUCACAGGGAAGAGAAGGGCUCUCCUCAAGCGGGUGGAAGGAGGGAGGCCUCCCGAGGGAGUGAGACUCUAGGCCACUCCCCCGCAGCAAGGCAGGAUCACCUGCGACGCGGAGAGCGGUUAGAGGGCCCUGGAGUGGAAAAGGGCAGUGGGACCUGGUAGCUUGGGUUCCCUGCAACUUGGGGUUCGACCUCCAGGCAAUGAAGUAGGGAUGGUCCUGCAAGUCAAGAUUCCAGUAGCAAGAGUGCAUCAGAUCUCUGUAAGGAAAAUAACUAACAUUGCUCAGUUCCCUGUAGAGUUGCAGGGCGCUUUAACGUUAUCUCCCUUGGUUCUCCAUCAGGUCGUAGUGGACUAAUUUUACAGGCGAAGUUAAGUGACUUACCCAAAACCUCACAGCUAAUAAACGGCAGAGCCGGCACCCAGCUGUACUGGCUUCCAAUUCUGUUAGCUUACCAGCGCAUCACAUUAUCUCCAUAAAUCCCCAUGAUUCAACUAAUAUUAGACGCCCCACAGAGUCUCGCUACUCAAAACGUGGUCAGUGGCCCAGCAGCACUGACAUGAGGAUGUUAGUUAGAAACUCAGAAUCUCAGGCUCCACCCCAGACCUGCUGAACCAGCAUCUUCAACUUAACAAGAACCCGAAGAGAUUUGUGUCACAUCAAAAAGUUUGAGAAGCUCUGAUCUAGGGCUGGAAGGAGUGUUGCUCAACAAUAUCCAAAACCACAGAGGUUGAAAAGCACAAGGAAAGAAGGUAUGUUUGCACUUUGUGAUUAGGUAGUAGGGUCUUUGAGACCACAUUGUUCUUAUUGAAAGCCUGGGAAGAAAGAUCCCCUUUCUGGUCAAGUUUAGUCUAGGGAUCCAUCCCAUCUUCCCCAGUUCCCACGUGUAUGGGACAUGUCGAGAUAAGUAGAUAGAUUGGACAGUGGGAGAAAGUAGUUCUCUUCCAGUUGCUUCUAUUUUCUCAGCAAAGUGAGGAGCAAGAUCAUUUUGGCAGACUGCUAAUUGUCCAUCACAAUUUAGUCUCCCUUUCUCCCUGAAAACACAGACUGCUUUUCUCAGCCUCUCUUUCAGUUGCAUAUGGUCAAGUAUUAAGUUAUAGAACGUGAGCAGAUGUUAUGUCUGCCACUGUCAGGCCAAGGCGUUUACUUUGAGAGUACUUGUGCCUCUUUCAUGCAUUUUCCUUUCUGCCAGCUGGACCCUGGACACGGUGACUCUGAUUCAAUUAUGCAGAUGACCACAAACCUCUGGGGUUGGCAGAGCCACAAGAAAGAAGGUGCCUGGAUGAAGGAGAGCUACCCACUGACCUGGACACCCAAUUAUGUCAUAGGUGCUGUGAUCUAGAGACAAAAUGUUCCUUACACUGGCAGAUACUUGCAAACUAAGGGGAAUGAGCUUCCUUCUGAAUGUUUAUGAAGGAGAGGCCACUGUGAGGAUAGACAGUGAAGUGCAACUACAGCCCGCAAAUGAAAAUGAAUAAUAUUAAUCCAGCCCCUCAAGGCAGUCAUCUGUCUUAGAGCUAUUGGAAUCCUGGAUCAUUGUGGGAAAUGAAAGAUACUUCGAUGGAAUCAGCAGCCAUUGAUCCAAUGCCAACUCCAAGACUGGAACGUCGCAAUGAUAGUUCCAAGGCGGAAAUUUGACGUAAUUCUUUUCGACACAGUUUUACAGGUCUGGAUGCCCAUUUUAAUUCUUCUGAAAGCAUGCCUCCUCCUUCUGGCUUCAGGACUCCAUCUCCAGCCUCUUGAUCUAAAAAU
rnacentral:lncRNA from 1 species